rnacentral:rRNA from 1 species
CGUUACAGGUUCUCGGUGUGCUUCUGCCAAAACCCAAAUUUUCUAUGGUUGACCUCGGAUCAGGUAGGGAUACCCGCUGAACUUAAGCAUUC